rnacentral:rRNA from 1 species
UAGGUCGACCGCUGAACUUAAGCAUAUCAAUAAGCGGAGGAAGAGAAACCAACAGGGAUUCCCUCAGUAACGGCGAGCGAAGUGGGAAGGCAACCCAGAUCUGAAAUCUCUGGCCCGGUUUACAAAKGAAGGCCGGCGAAUUGUGGUCUGUAGAGACGGGCUGUCCCGGUCCACCGUUCCCCAGUGGUGGGCCCGAAGUCGACUUGGAACGGCGUGCCUGAGAGGGUGAGAGCCCCGUAGGGCAAGGAAACCGGGGACGGCGGGACGAGAGUCCGUGCUCGUAGAGUCGGGUUGUUUGAGAUUGCAGCCCAAAGCGGGUGGUAGACUCCAUCCAAGGGUGAAUACCUGUGCGAGUCCGAUAGCAGACAAGUACC